UCGACCAGGAGAAAGGAAACCAAGGAAAACCCUUGUUUCCAGAAAUUAACAAGAUUAGAAGGGAAAUCAAAGCCAAAACUAAUGCAUGAACUCAAAUAUCUAACCAUCUAAGCUUGUCCAACAAGUGGUAUAAAGGAAGAAGGUUCAACUCACUCGAAGCAACAAGGAAAUCAAGAACGAGGUAAAACCCAAGUUUAGGUGGUCAUGCUUCGCUCGGAUCGAACACACUUCAUUUUGCCCUUCAUGCACUUCCAGAAUUUGUAAAGUUGUAAACGGGUCAAAAUGCUUUUGUUGCAAGUAGCUUACGUUUAGUUGUUAAACUAUAAUCAAUACUUAUGUUAUGUCUUUUAUAAAUUCUAGUUGGUGUGUAAACGUUUAAAAAGGGAAUGGUUUUGUAUGUACAACUAAGUUUGUUUUU